GUUCAUCUCACUCACGUCUUUAACCAUCCAGCUCUAAGGAAUCACUCUUAGUGUGAUGAAGAUCAUCUUCUUCAGUUCUGAUGAAAAAUGAUGAAAACAUGAAACUCCAGGAGGCUUCAUCAGCAGCUUUCAGCUCCACACAUCUCUAUCACACAGCUCCAGGUCCGGUCUCAGGCUCGUCUUGGUGUCUCCUCCACUGGUGAUGACAUCAUCAGCAGUUUGAUAAGACUCUCUGAGGAAAAGUGUGUCCACUGACUGGAAGCUGAAGACAGGAAAUGGGAACUAAACUAGAAAAAAGUUACAAACAAAUAAAUAAAUAAAUGACUGGGAGCAGGUUUGGCACGGAGGUCCGAUCCCAGCUUAGUCUGAUUAAAACCUUCUGCGUGAAGCUUCAGGAUUUUUCUGAUAUUUAAGGUUUCCAUGAGCGGAGCUGACUGCAGAGUCGAGUCUGACCCCACGGUGAUGCUGUCCUCGAGCCAAGCCUCUUCGUUUCUGCUGUUUUUGGACGAGGGACAGCAGAGGAACAGUCGGGGACGCUGCAGCAAGCCCAGCAUUUAUUAAAAAAGUCUGCAGUUCUGAUUUCAGCAACGAGCUCGCACGUCUGGGUCAGAGCCUGAACCGGUUCUGCCCUGUGGCUCGUUAAAGAACCUGGCGCUCCGUGCGGAGGAGAAACAGCCUGCAUUCCGAUGAUGGACUGGAGGUGUUAAGCCUCGCUGGAGGACCAGGGCUUUGGGGUUCAAUCCUCCACAUGAAGUGUUGAGCUCCUGAGGAACACGCUCAGACUCCGAGUUUCUACACACUGCAGCUUUACUUCCAGAAUCUCAGCAGCGCUUUUUAUAUCAUUUCAAGUGAACAAAUGAAAUCAUUUGCUAGAUGAUGUCAGGACUGUAGAGUGUAUGAUUUCUGACCAAAUUUCAAAUUUUGCAUAAAAAAUAUCCAUUGCUUUAUAACAAACAAUUAAAAAAUUUCUUAACAAGGGGGCGGAGCUAAUGCUAAUCCAGGUCAGACUUACAUAUCCGCCUCACUCUUCCCUCAGACAUGGCCAAUCAGUAAGGAGAUGGGCAUAAUUGUAUAAACAUAAUUAUUGAGGUGGGUGUGGCGUGGCCCAAUUGCAAAUGUAAAUGGAUCUUCAGGCUCUGACCACAUGGCCUUCAUUAAUUACAUCACUGCUUAUAUGCUCAGCCCAGUUAAGCCUGAUCCAUUUCUCAUUAAUUAAUGAGGUGGGUGUGGCAAAAAUGUAACUCCUCCUUUUUGCUCCACCCACUGGCCUGAGCAACUUGUCUAUCCUGGUGUUGUCUUACUGCCUGGGGGCGGGUCAAAGAUCUCAUCCCAAAAAUAUGUAUCCAAGACA